rnacentral:rRNA from 1 species
UACGAAGGGGGCUAGCGUUGCUCGGAAUCACUGGGCGUAAAGGGUGCGUAGGCGGGUCUUUAAGUCCGGGGUGAAAUCCUGGAGCUCAACUCCAGAACUGCCUUUGAUACGGGCGAUCUUGAGUCCGGGAGAGGUGAGUGGAACUGCGAGUGUAGAGGUGAAAUUCGUAGAUAUUCGCAAGAACACCAGUGGCGAAGGCGGCUCACUGGCCCGGUACUGACGCUGAGGUGCGAAAGCGUGGGGAGCAAACAGG